CCCUUAGAUGUUCUGGGCCGCACGCGCGCUACACUGAUGCAUUCAACGAGUUUCUUCCUGGUCCGAGAGGAAUGGGUAACCUUUUGAAAGUGCAUCGUGAUAGGGAUAGACUAUUGCAAUUAUUGGUCUUCAACGAGGAAUUCCUAGUAGACGUAGUUCAUCAGACUGCAUCGAUUACGUCCCUGCCCUUUGUACACACCGCCCGUCGCUCCUACCGAUUGAAUGCUCAGGUGAGCCAUUCGGACUUUCAUCAUGCUGGUUUCCAGUUUUGAUGAAUGAAAGUCUUGCGAACCUUAUCAUUUAGAGGAAGGAGAAGUCGUAACA
rnacentral:rRNA from 1 species